rnacentral:rRNA from 1 species
UAGGGAAUCUUCGGUAAUGGACGAAAGUCUGACCGAGCAACGCCGCGUGAGUGAAGAAGGUUUUCGGAUCGUAAAACUCUGUUGUUAGAGAAGAACAAGGACGUUAGUAACUGAACGUCCCCUGACGGUAUCUAACCAGAAAGCCACGGCUAACUACGUGCCAGCAGCCGCGGUAAUACGUAGGUGGCAAGCGUUGUCCGGAUUUAUUGGGCGUAAAGCGAGCGCAGGCGGUUUCUUAAGUCUGAUGUGAAAGCCCCCGGCUCAACCGGGGAGGGUCAUUGGAAACUUGUAGACUUGAGUGCAGAAGAGGAGAGUGGAAUUCCAUGUGUAGCGGUGAGAUUCGUAGAUAUAUGGAGGAACACCAGUGGCGAAGGCGGCUCUCUGGUCUGUAACUGACGCUGAGGCUCGAAAGCGUGGGGAGCAAACAGG